AGGGAUGUAGCAAAUUUGGUAGCACCUUUUUGGGGUAAAAAAUGUCACAGGUUCAAAUCCUGUCAUCCUUA
rnacentral:tRNA from 1 species